UACGAGUGCCCCAAGCGUUAUCCGGAAUCAUUGGGCGUAAAGGGUGUGUAGGUGGUUGUGCUAGUCUUCCGUCAAAACCCAGGGCUUAACCUUGGAUCUGCGAAAGAAACGACACAACUAGAGGAUGCGAGGGGUGAAUGGAACUCAUGGAGUAGGGGUGAAAUCCGUUGAUAUCAUGGGGAACACCAAAAGCGAAGGCAGUUCACUGGCGCAUUCCUGACACUGAAACACGAAAGCGUGGGUAGCGAAUGGG
rnacentral:rRNA from 1 species